GUGGGGAAUAUUGGACAAUGGGCGAAAGCCUGAUCCAGCCAUGCCGCGUGUGUGAAGAAGGUCUUCGGAUUGUAAAGCACUUUAAGUUGGGAGGAAGGGCAGUAAGUUAAUACCUUGCUGUUUUGACGUUACCGACAGAAUAAGCACCGGCUAACUUCGUGCCAGCAGCCGCGGUAAUACGAAGGGUGCAAGCGUUAAUCGGAAUUACUGGGAGUAAAGCGCGCGUAGGUGGUUUUGUAAGUUGGAGGUGAAAACCCCGGGCUCAACCUGGGAACUGCCUCCAAAACUGCAUGACUAGAGUACGGUAGAGGGUAGUGGAAUUUCCUGUGUAGCGGUGAAAUGCGUAGAUAUAUGAAGGAACACCAGUGGCGAAGGCGACUACCUGGACUGAUACUGACACUGAGGUGCGAAAGCGUGGGGAGCAAACAGGAUUAGAUACCCGGGUAGUCC
rnacentral:rRNA from 1 species